rnacentral:rRNA from 1 species
AUUGAACGCUGGCGGCAGGCCUAACACAUGCAAGUCGAACGAGUGGCGGACGGGUGAGUAAUGUCUGGGAAACUGCCUGAUGGAGGGGGAUAACUACUGGAAACGGUAGCUAAUACCGCAUACCAUCGGAUGUGCCCAGAUGGGAUUAGCUAGUAGGUUGGGUAAAGGCUCACCUAGGCGACGAUCCCUAGCUGGUCUGAGAGGAUGACCAGCAAAACGUGAACUGAGACACGGUCCAGACUCCUACGGGAGGCAGCAGGGGGUAAUAUUGCACAAGGGUCGCAAGCUUGAUGCAGCCAGGCCGCGUGUAUGAAGAAGGCCUUCGGGUUGUAAAGUACUUUCAGCGGGGAGGCGUUACCUGCAGAAGAAGCACCGGCUAACUCCGUGCCAGCAGCCGCGGUAAUAC